AGAGUUUGAUCAUGGCUCAGAGCGAACGCUGGCGGCAGGCCUAACACAUGCAAGUCGAACGGAUCCUUCGGGAUUAGUGGCGGACGGGUGAGUAACACGUGGGAACGUGCCCUUUGGUUCGGAACAACUCAGGGAAACUUGAGCUAAUACCGGAUGUGCCCUUCGGGGGAAAGAUUUAUCGCCAUUGGAGCGGCCCGCGUCUGAUUAGCUAGUUGGUGAGGUAAAGGCUCACCAAGGCGACGAUCAGUAGCUGGUCUGAGAGGAUGAUCAGCCACAUUGGGACUGAGACACGGCCCAAACUCCUACGGGAGGCAGCAGUGGGGAAUCUUGCGCAAUGGGCGAAAGCCUGACGCAGCCAUGCCGCGUGAAUGAUGAAGGUCUUAGGAUUGUAAAAUUCUUUCACCGGGGACGAUAAUGACGGUACCCGGAGAAGAAGCCCCGGCUAACUUCGUGCCAGCAGCCGCGGUAAUACGAAGGGGGCUAGCGUUGCUCGGAAUUACUGGGCGUAAAGGGAGCGUAGGCGGACUGUUUAGUCAGAGGUGAAAGCCCAGGGCUCAACCUUGGAAUUGCCUUUGAUACUGGCAGUCUUGAGUACGGAAGAGGUAUGUGGAACUCCGAGUGUAGAGGUGAAAUUCGUAGAUAUUCGGAAGAACACCAGUGGCGAAGGCGACAUACUGGUCCGUUACUGACGCUGAGGCUCGAAAGCGUGGGGAGCAAACAGGAUUAGAUACCCUGGUAGUCCACGCCGUAAACGAUGAGUGCUAGUUGUCGGCAUGCUUGCAUGUCGGUGACGCAGCUAACGCAUUAAGCACUCCGCCUGGGGAGUACGGUCGCAAGAUUAAAACUCAAAUGAAUUGACGG
rnacentral:rRNA from 1 species